UUAUGACCUACAAAGUGAAGU
rnacentral:piRNA from 1 species